rnacentral:rRNA from 1 species
AAGAAGAAUAAGCUUAUUUUAUUUUCUAGAAAGUUCCCGACGGUGAUGGAUGAACAUGCGACUGAUUAGUUUGUUGGUGAGGUAACGGCUCACCAAGACUACGAUCAGUAGGGGUACUGAGAGGUUAAACCCCCCACACUGGUACUGAGACACGGACCAGACUCCUACGGGAGGCAGCAGUAAGGAAUAUUGGACAAUGGCCGCAAGGCUGAUCCAGCCAUGCCGCGUGCAGGAAGACGGACCUAUGGUUUGUAAACUGCUUUUGAACGGGACGAAAACCCCCCUACGUGUAGGGGGCUGAUAGUACUGUUAGAAUAAGCAUCGGCUAACUUCGUG